rnacentral:pre_miRNA from 1 species
AGGUUUAAGGUUUGAUCCAAACCCCACUGAAACCAGUAGGAGUCAUUCCAUUGAUUGCACUGGGCUUUGGAUCAGGCCCUUACCU